rnacentral:rRNA from 1 species
UAUUCCCCACUGCUGCCUCCCGUAGGAGUCUGGGCCGUGUCUCAGUCCCAAUGUGGCCGUUCAACCUCUCAGUCCGGCUACUGAUCGUCGACUUGGUGGGCCGUUACCUCACCAACUAUCUAAUCAGACGCGAGCUCAUCUUUCAGCGGAUUGCUCCUUUGGUAUUCAGAUGAUGCCAUCCGAAUACGUUAUGCGGUAUUAGCGAUCGUUUCCAAUCGUUAUCCCCCUCUGAAAGGCAGAUUGCUCACGCGUUACUCACCCGUCCGCCACUAAGCACAAAAACCGAAGUCUCAGUGCUUCGUUCGACUUGCAUGUGUUAGGCACGCCGCCAGCGUUCAUCCUGAGCCAA